UGUAGGUUAACAGGUCACCUCCUUCAUCCUUGUUUUACGUAACCCACUGCAAUUUCAUUCCUAGUGAAUUCGAUGGGUUGCCUAACAAUCGAACGCAAUCGCAUAAGGAAUUUCCACGACGUUAUUCAGUAUGGUACACUACACAAAGAAUUGAAAAAAUUGUAUCCAAGAAAAGGGUCAGAUAUUGAAGUCAUAGCAGGAUCUGCAAGUUUGUUCUAGCAACCUUACAUAUAAGUUACGCUGGUAGAGAGAGACCUCUGCAAGGUUUCCUUGGCGAGACUUGCUUGUUAAGGUGAUGUUCAGGACGUCAACUAAAAUAUUGCCAAAUAUUAAAUAAAACAUUGCCAAAUAUUAAUCUUACCCAAUAUGUCUAGCAUGUAAACUGUAUCAUGUUUAGUUCAUGAUACAGUUGUCUUGGACUUAAUUAACUUUAUUAAAUAACAUUUAACAACUAGUUAAUUUCUUUUCUUGUGGUGGGGGUAAUUUUGAAUAUAAACAACUUUUAGAGAUUGAUCAGAUUUUAUUGUUCACUGUACAGCAAUUGAUUCACCUACUCUUGAUUCACCUACUCAGUAAAUGAAGGAAUGUGGAAAAAAAAAGUUGGUAUUGCCAGCACUAUAUAGUUGGGUAUUGGUGGUUGUCUAUAAUGCAUUCUUCUCUCAAGAAACUAGUUUACAGGUCGUUGGCUAUACUAUUGUCCAGGAGAUAUCUGUGUGAUGCUGUGGAAGAGGACCUCUAUUUGUAGGUAAAGGCCUGUUGUGCUUCACCUCUCCUUAGUCCUUUAAUAGACAUUCCAGAAGAUCAUUUUCCUGGUAGGUGCAUAUUUUUGUACUACAAAAGUGGUGCUGUUGCUGCUCUUGUCCCUUCUUGUUGAAAGUAUCCUUUUGGAGGGAGU